UAGAGAGCUUGCUUUUUAAGCUUAGUGGCGAACGGGUGAGUAACGCGUGAGUAACCUGCCCUAGAGUGGGGGACAACAGUUGGAAACGACUGCUAAUACCGCAUAAGCCCACGGUACCGCAUGGUACUGAGGGAAAAGGAUUUAUUCGCUUUAGGAUGGACUCGCGUCCAAUUAGCUAGUUGGUGAGGUAACGGCCCACCAAGGCGACGAUUGGUAGCCGGACUGAGAGGUUGAACGGCCACAUUGGGACUGAGACACGGCCCAGACUCCUACGGGAGGCAGCAGUGGGGGAUAUUGCACAAUGGGGGAAACCCUGAUGCAGCGACGCCGCGUGGAGGAAGAAGGUUUUCGGAUUGUAAACUCCUGUCGUUAGGGACGAUAAUGACGGUACCUAACAAGAAAGCACCGGCUAACUACGUGCCAGCAGCCGCGGUAAAACGUAGGGUGCAAGCGUUGUCCGGAAUUACUGGGUGUAAAGGGAGCGCAGGCGGGAAGACAAGUUGGAAGUGAAAACCAUGGGCUCAACCCAUGAAUUGCUUUCAAAACUGUUUUUCUUGAGUAGUGCAGAGGUAGAUGGAAUUCCCGGUGUAGCGGUGGAAUGCGUAGAUAUCGGGAGGAACACCAGUGGCGAAGGCGGUCUACUGGGCACCAACUGACGCUGAGGCUC
rnacentral:rRNA from 1 species